UAACCAGUGUCUAGGAUGGGUCUCUCUCUUAUGCAAAAAGGAGUAAAGCCCCACCCUUGCCUUUUGGGAGGAGGUCUUAGGUUGCAGCUUGUGGGUGAGGGGCAUUGAAGAGGAAAGAUAUGUUGCUGGCAGAGGGAAGGAAGACACAGAACGGCUUGUAAUCGUGGAGGACAUGAUCAGAGCUGGAGUUUUGAAUGGGAAACUGCUGACCACGUGCGAGGCGGCUAACAGAUGGAAAAGAACAGAGGCCAUGCGUCCAGUGUGGAGGAGAUGAGGGGGCCUGAGCCAAGGCAGUGGCAGUGAGGAAGGCAGACUGGGGAACGGACUUUUAAAAAUGGAUUUGAAAAUAUCCAUUGAGCACUUCCCCCCACCUCUGACCACUCCAUAUCCACUCCGAUCCCUCCCUCCAAAGCUUCACUCUGCAGCCAAGUGAUCAUUUCAAAGCAGAUCUCAUCACAUCUCCCCUGCUUACCAGCUCUCUGAAGGCUUCUGAAUUCCUUUGAGAUAAAAGUCCACAUUCCUUAACACGGUCUGAAGGCCCCACGGGGUCUGGUCAUCGGCCUGUCCCAUGCUGUUCCUUGCUCUUGCUGCUCCAGCCCAUGUGUUCCCCUAGCACAGGGCCUUUGCACAUGCUGUUCCCUCUCCUGGGAGGCUUUUCCUUCUCCUUCUCCUCCUCCUCCUCUGGUUAACACUCACUCAUUGAGAUCUCAAUUCAAGUAGAUGUCCUGACCUCCCUGAUUAGCUCAAAUUCCCCUAGGGCAGGCAAGCACCCUGUAGCUCUCUUGAUGUCAUCUGUCAUCCCAGUUGUUGUUGUUGUU
rnacentral:lncRNA from 1 species